GCUGGAGUACGUCAAAUCUAAGUGAUAUAGUUUAAAGAUCCAUAAUAGUUUGCCCCUUUCUUCUUUCUUCCCAAAUCAAAAGAUCCAAAACCAAACAGAGGCAAAAGUGCCCAAUCGCAGAGGAGGCCAUUUCAAGAUGUCUCUGCACCUUGGUAACCUAUCAUCUCGCAUUCGUAGAGAUGAACUUGAGCGUGUUUUCCGGAGAUUCGGGCGGUGUAAUGUUCGCGUGAAAGACAAAUUUGGAUUUGUAGUUUAUGACUAUCCUAGAAAUGCUGAGAAAGCUCUAAAAACACUUCGAGGAAAGUUCAUAUGUGGAGAGCCAAUAAGUCUUUCAUGGUCUAAUAAGCAGCCUCGGUUCUUGCAGAAAUAUACACGAGAUGUUAAAUCUUUUGAAGCAGUAGGAAGGACGCACUCUGCUAGGGAAGAUUAUGUUGACCAUGUUAAUCGUGGGGUUGGUUCAAAUGGGGAACAAGGUUAUAAAGAAAGUUUUAGGCAAGGGAAUGGUGGCGAAAGGCUUCCUGCUGAAAUUACGGAUGAGGCAUGUCAUGAGAAUAAAAAAGAUUACAAGGAACAUCAUCCCUUUGUGGGUGAUUUUCCGGAUCAAGGUGGAGGUGUUGAGGGAAACCUCUCAAAAAAUGAUAACCAAAUGAAUCAAAAUGUCCUUGAGGAUAGAUUGGAGUUUGAUAGAUAUGAACCUAAUGAGGCUGAUGAGCGGACGGAGCAAAAUGUUUUGACACACGGGGAUGGUUCACUCUCUUUGAGGAAGCCUGAAGAGAAAGCAGGAGUGGAGCAAAUUGAUCCGAAGACUCAAAAUGCUUGCUACAACUGUGGUGAAGCAGGUCACAAAAUGCAGAAGUGUCCCCAGGGGAUCAAGAGGCUUGAAUCCAGGACUUCAAGAAGACUUCGAGCUGGUCGUGACACAAUAUCAUUGAGGAUGACCAAAGGUAUCAGGGAGGCUAUUGAUUCCAGAAAUGGCCAUAGAUUGAGGAGUGAACCUUCUCCUUCAGCAAGGACGACUCAUAGAGGUGGAAGAAACAACCACAGAGAAAACAAGCGAUGUUGGAAGGAACAGGGGAGUAUUGAGAAGUUUCUUCCAAAGAAAGCCAGGGUGUCAAUAUCACCUUCAAAUCAUUCGAAUCAUACUUCAUCUCAGUCACGGUCCUCUUCUAGGUCAAUGAGGUCUUUGUCUCAGUCUCCCUCACCAUCUAGGUCAAAAUUAGUAUCCUCCAUUAAAGAUUCUCCAUUUUCCAGUUCACAGUCUGGUUCAUCAACCCUUCAUACUAGAGGUAAAAGUUACAAGUCUAAUAUGAAGUCGAGGUCAAGCUCUCCUACAUCAUCUUCGUCUCCGGAAAAGGUGCAGAAAGAUCAGAAGGCCACUUUCGUGGAUGCUGGUGACCCUCAGUCUAAUGGAGUUUUAUUUGAAGGGGAGCCACUAGAAAAUAGUGCUGCUAGAAUGGAUGAUUCUAAGCUUGAAAACAUCAUUGUUCAAGUGGAAAAUCAAGGUGACGCUGCAGUUUGUGAACUGGAAGAGGAUGUUGAGCAUGAUUGUUGUCAGAGGAGGGAUGCAAUAGAUAUAGGCAAAGAUUCUUGUCAAUGGAAAAAUUCAAAUACCACAGGAUCUGACACGUGUGAUCUUACAACAUGGAGUGCAUCUCCAAAGAGUUUGGCAGAGACAAGGGAGCUUCAAAAUAAUGAUGUGGUGGAAGAGCAGACAUUGGCACAAAAUCCAAAUUCUGGUUCACCAGUUGCUGAGAGGCUUCAUUCCGCUACUUUGACAAGUCUAUCCUCAGAGGAAGUAUACCGGGUUCUCAAACACUAUGGGCUAGAGAACCAAGAGAAGAGAGAAAAUGAGUUACCUGUGGAAACUUAUUUUGGUUGUUCUCGCUUGUGGCCUUGGGAAAUCAUUUACUAUAGGAGACUUAAGAAGGGCCUCAUUUCAACUGAGAACUAUUCUAGGAGGUUGGCGCAGAAUAAAGAGUUUGGUAUAGUGGACAAAUUUGUAAGAAGCAGUAGUGGUUGGGCAGAAUUGAGAAAAGAAAAUAGUUAAUCGUUUCCUUUGACCGAUCGAUGCAUCAUAGUUCAUGUCUUUUCCUUGUGAUGCUAUGCAGAAAUUGGUUAGAAAGCUUUUACUGACCCUUCAGCAGAUAAACAAAUCACUGGUAAUUGGAAGUAUUGCGUUCAAAUGAGAAUGGUAUAUUCUUGCAACCAAAGUUACCAACCGCUUUGAAUUGGAAGAAUAAAACUUGAGAGACUUGCCUGUAAGAUUUAUCUAGUUACUUUCUGGGCUCUGCGUGCUCUACUUCCUAUACCAUAGUCAGUUAAAAUGUCCUCCAAGAAAAGAAAAAUCAGUUUAUUGGUUUAUGUUGGAUAAGUGUGGCAAAAUGCUAAAUGACCAUAACCUGGAAUUAAACUUGUUAUUAACAUCUUGGGGACUACUGAAGUUCUUUAGUUGUGGCUGAGAUAAUUAAGAAUUAGGAGUAACAAGAAUUUGGAAAUAUAAGACCGUUGGAGUUGGUAUAAAUGCUAGUUUCUUUGUUAUGUAGUACAUGUAGCUGUGUUGGUAGGAGGCAAUAGGUACUUGGUGAAUUGGUCGAUGUGUGGCAACUUAUAAAAGAAAUAUACUAGUUGCUCACUUGCUUUGCGAUAGCAAUAUGUCAAUCUUGUUGAAAUCAUAUUUAUGACUAAAAGGAAAGCACAAAGAAUUUUAGCUUGAUAUAGUGUUGCAUCCGUUGGUAGAAUUGACAUAGUAUCCAUUGAAAAGUAUAGUAUGCUAAGGUGGAAUGUCUGAGGCUGUUUCUUUGACUCAAAAUAGGUUAGUGUAUUCCUAAGCUGCAAUCCCUGUUGGCCAGGAUACAGUGUAUGUUGUUUUUAACCUAGCUUAGCUACUUUUAAGAGCAAACCCCUUUUUAUCAGAUACAGCAAGAUGUCCUUUUGGAAUAAAACAAGGUGGUUAACUCUAUCAUAAAAAACUGGUGGGGAUGUUCGGAAUAAGACUGUUGAGUGCCAACGAUGAUGAGAUCACCUGUUUUUCAAUUUAUGGGAACCUUGUACCUUACGUCGUUGCAUAUUUAGUUUUUCUAUUAAUUGAUAUACUUAUGCAUACAGUUGCUUGUUGUACGUUGUUCACUACUACCAGCUCACGGUCACAAGCUUGCUUGUGCGAACAAGUCAACAACUUGCUGAAAUUUGCAAUUUCUAUUUUCUUUAUUUAUCUAUUGUAGAGGCAGAUUGAAAAGUAGAUGAACUGAUUGCAGAGUGUCAUUGCCUGCCAUGUUGGUGUUUUCUGUUUAAAGUACUGCAUCAUUCUAAGUUCAUGCUUCCCAAUAUUCAUUGUUGACAGUAUUAAUGCACUUUGUUUGGUUCUAAAUUGGGGUAUGGUAUGCCUGCAUUCAUGAUGUCGCUGCAAGUAUAUGUUCUCAACUGUAUCCUUAGUUAUAGGCAUGAAAUUUGCCUUCUAAAAUUAUGUUUAGGUUUUGUUUUCUUAUUGACUAGCUAAAUGCUAUGCGUCAUAUUAUUGAUGGUGCAACUGACACCAGCUCUGGCUUUGUUUUUGUUCAAUUAAAAGUGAUGGUGAGAGGAUGGAGUGGUUGUAGUUUUGGCUAUAUUUUGAGGUCAAAUUAAUUCUUUCUACUCUGAUGUCGCCUUUGCUCUUUCAAUUUGCUGUUUUCGUGGUUUAUCUUCUAAACUUGCCAACAUCUUUUUAGGAGGUUUGACUAGUUGAAAAUGGAAAUAUUGAUGUAGCCAAUUCCGAGUAAAUUAAAAUAGUUUAAGCACAUAGUGCAACACUUUUAUCUGGCAAGACAAAAGAGAUGUUCUGAAGAUGCUCUAGUGCCUCCAUGGGUUUUGGUCUAGUGGUAAUAGCACACACGUGGUCAGGUGUAUGCAUUAGACUAACCUCACCGUUUCAACGACAAAAGCUUGAUAUUUAAGUGGAGAAGAAUAAAAGGAUUAGAUAAUUAUCUAUCGAGUUUUGAGUUAUGUGCCGCUGGCUUUCAAGACUCGUUUCAUUAAAAAUAGAUGCACUAAUGUACCAUAUUUUUCUCAAUGUUUAGUACUGUCUGAAAUUGUACUAAAGUAAUAAGAAGCAGAUGAAGCAUAUGCUUUUUACUAGGUUUCCAUCGGAUGACUUUGAUUAAUAAUGUCUUUUCAAUUAUCUUAAGACCGGCCUAACCUAAAAUUUUAAACUCUCAUCUUCUCAUGUUGGAACCCCCAUGGCCACGUCUAAAUCUAUCUUUUGGAGUUGUAGGUUCAGUUUAUUUCUUCAACAUGCAAUAGCAUUUCCCCCCUUUUUAAACAUGAGGGCCCAAUUCCUUCUUUCUGUCAACACUCUUAUGCACAUAGUAUAUAUUAUUUUGCAUUCAAUAGUCAUACAUAUCAAGUUGCUUAUACUUAUCAGGUGCAUUUCUUUAGGACAAUGAUGUCUAAGUUGCGCGUACUUUGAUUAUUCCACUAAUUAUCGAAUAUCUAUGCCAUUAAGGCAUAGAUAGAUUUUUUUUGUCGGGUGAUUUUAACCUUAAUCUUCCAUGGGUUAUCCCACGUCAUUCAUCACUAGACCACACUAUUAUGUGCGAUAAUCGGUAUUUUUCUCCGUGCUCGUAAAUUAUCUUAUUUUAUCUCAAAUUGAGAUGUAGAUAUGUCAAUGUGAUGCCUUUUGGCCUUGAUUUGAGACAUUUUCUGAAACUUUUACUUUUCAUGCCAGUCUAUUUUUGUUUUUACUUUUGGAAGAGA